UUAUCUUGCACAAUUCAAUCAUUUAACUAAAUACUUUUUGCUGUCUUUGAGCCUUGCCCGCCUCCAAAGACUUAAACUUCAUUUCUUUGAGUAGAACAAAAUAGAACAUAGCUGCAAUGAUCAUUAUCAAUAGUCCAAACUAAGUGAAGAUAAAUAUGCAGCAAAGAAAGACAAAGGAUUCAUGAGCCAUCCAAAAUAUAGAGUAAUCUGAUAGUUAACAUGUACAUUUACUAAAAAGCAUAGUUGACAGGUACUUGCCAUUUUGAUGAAUACAUAUAAUGCUCGAAAAAAGAAAUAAAAGUUGCAUGUCAGUUCUGUCACUACUCUCAAGGAAUCGAGGCUUUCAAAAUUGAAAGCAUAAGGAGUUAAAAGACUUCUCCUUAUAGUUUCAAGUACUGGUAUGUGUUGUUGAUGUUUGUGUGCCCAGUAUGCGACUUACAGUAUCGUUGUUGUUACAUGCUUUGAGAACAUAACCUUCGACAUUCCCAUAUAAAGUUUCAAUCUAAGAUAUAUGGCAGUUCUGCCACUGCUCUCAAGGAAGGUUCUUCAAAAGUUAAAACAUAAAGAGUUAAAAGCCUUUUCCUUUGAGUUAAUCAAAGACCUACUGAUUAUUAGAAGAAUAUGAUAAGCACUAAAAUUAUUUUCAAACAUCCCCUGAACUUAUGGAACAUGUAAUGACAAUACAAAAUACCAAUUAUAAUUAAUAACUCAAAUUAAAUAAGAUAGAUUGCUACUCAUAUCCUUUUUUGUUGACUAUGGUUCAAAAUGUUCUUAUGAGCUAACUUCCCUGUUGCAAUAUGACUGAAACUCACUCCUCAUAACUUAAAAAUGAGAUGAGCAUACCUUGUUGAGAUCUUGUUUUGGUACUGCACACUCAUGGAAGAGAUAAAUAAGAGUCUCCCCAACAACUCGACGACAAAGACGACAACCGCCUCCAAUAUUGUAAUUGUCACAAAUUAUGAGUCCGUAGGCACUUCAUCUUCAGCUGCCCUGUAAAACACUUACUCCAGCUCCUCCAACUGCCGAGUAUUAGCCUCAUCAUAAAUUGAUAUCAUUGCACCCUGACGAUUGCCGAGAAAGUAUUCCUCUUCAAAAGGAUCGUCGCGAAAUUCUCAAACCAAAGAAACAUGAACGAAACCGCAUCAGUGACCUGAAGAUAUUGGUAGCUAUAAAGAUGGAUAUUUCAUAUAUGACUCACGGAUUUGAGGAGAAGCAAGUUGCCUCAAAUUAAAUUGAAUUUCUCAAGUUGACUGACUAAAAUAAUUAAUUUGCAAGAAGUUUACUAUAGAAAUUAAUAAUGCUUAGAUUACUUCUUCCAUAAUUUCGCCCAAAAUCUUAAACAGAACAACGGAUUGAGUUAUUAGCAUGUUAAGUGCGGAUAUCAAAUGCAAGUUUGCAAGCAUUACCGAACAACUUCGAAAGGUACAAUUGGCAUGGGAAGGAAGAAUGGAAGUUAUUAGAGACCAUGAAAUUAAAUUAAACUGGGGGAGAAAUGAAAAUGAGAAUGGAUAUAAAGAGGGUUGAACCAAUUCAAGACAUAAUUUGAAGGAGAAAUUAUCAGUUAAGCGUAUUUGAUGUCAAAUUCUUAAAUAGGGAGGUAGUUAGUAAAUGUAGAUAUUCACCUUGCGAUUGUAGACUGGGACUGAAUUGCACACAUAUAGAUGUUAGAUAUGCCAGGAGUACUUGACACCUGGUCUCUAAAAUACAAAGUAUUCAUAAGUGAGAGAACUAUUCUGUUAAAAGUAAGAACAGUUUUAGUUUAAGAAUGGAAUAACAGAUUCACUCAUAGCUAUUGGAGCAUAGGUAAAUAAUAUCUAAUUAUAUAUGAAUAUCACUAGUAGCGUAUCAAGGAGCUCAUACCAGUAACUUAAGAAUCAUCACCCAUCCCACUAUCCCCCCACAAAAUUUGAAACUAGUUAAAAUUGAAAUGAAGAUAACAAUACGUACUUUGUGCUUUUGUCUGUCACUCAUCAUCUGGUUCAUCGCUAGAACUUCCUGCCAAGAAGAAGUCAUCCUCACUUAGAUCCAAAAGUUCAUCAUCUUUACUACAUAUUUAUAUGAUUGAAAGGCAUUAAAUAAGCAACAACAAAGGGCAUUGAGAAGGUAAAAUUGAUGCAUCAAUCAGUCCAUAUCUCUAUCAAAACAAUGAUCAAGGCCAAUUCAUAAGCUGGCACUCCUGCUUCAGUAGGAACCCCAUUUUAAGUAUAACAAAUGGAAGGAAAUCUCGUACAUGAGAAGCGAAAAAUCUUGGACAUGAUAAACCCAAUGCUAGGUUGGCCGAUAAGAGAUUGCAAAAUUUAAAUGUAGACUAAAAUGCAUACCUAGCUCAAACAUUGAAACUCGGAUGUACUGUGGAGAUUAGGUGACAAAGUCACGCAGCUGAAUUUACAUGCACUUCAUCUCGCACUAAAGCCUUCAAUAGAGAAAGAAUCUCAAAGGAAUCUUGUCCAUACAAUAGAGAAAGAAUCUCAAAUGCUUCUUUUCCAGACAAUAAUAAGAAGGAUGUUUCACAAGGCAUAGAAAUUUACAUAUCAGGGACACUACAAAAGCAAGUACCUGUCCACACAUUGUUCUUUGUGAAGUCAAUUCCGAUAAUGGGAUUUAAAAAUUCAAACUCUGCACGUGCAAGAGCUUAUGUCACCUGCAGAAUAAGUAAUGGGAAACACAAACAUAAUUCAUCAAUGGAGAUGAAGUCAUGGAACCAAGUAUAAGUGAAAUAUUCCAUGGAACUGACUAUAUGUUGGAACCAAGUGCCAUUGAAUUUGGCAUAAAUAACAUGGAGAAUAGAGAAUCACAGACUGACAUACUUCAAAAUAGAAUGCCCUAGAAAAAUUCAAGCUUAUCUAUUCUUCCAAGACAUAAAUCUAAAGUUUUUGAGACAAAAGGAAACUACCAACAGUUGAGAGACAGUGAAACAGUAAUAGAUUAUACCACAAUGAUGAUUGCUGAAAAAAUUUCGCGUUGCUAUAGAUUCCUUGACGACUUUUGAUUUCCUCCCUGGCGCCAAAAAAUUGUCGAUGACAGCUUAACAGUCAUGAAAUCAGAGAGGAAUAUAACCACCUUUCUUCCUGCUUAGUAUGCUGGAUUUAUGAUUGUCUAUUUCCCUCCUUUGGAUUGCUAACUGAGGAACCAAACAGAGCAAGGGAAUUUCACCUCCAUCGAGCGAUCUUCCUUCUCCUUUUAGUUGUUAUAAUUAACACUGCAGCUUAAAAAAUCAAACAGCUUACAGAAAAGAAGAAGGCAAAAAAGUUUGAUUUCAUAGAGAACUCAAUUUUUUUAGAGAAGAAAGAGAAAGGAAUGAGAGCAAAAUGAAAAUCUGUAACUGUGGUGGAGAAAGUCAGAAAACGCAAGAAGAGAGAGAUUGUGGG
rnacentral:lncRNA from 1 species